ensembl:lncRNA
AUGAACAAGAUGCACUCAAGAUGCCUCGCUCGAGGCUCUCUUCCUUUGCCCUUUGCUGUUUUUGAUGCUCCGAACACAGAAGCUGCACCGGAGGGGCUCACAUUACAGUCACCCUCUCUUGUGAUCCUGUGCUCGUUUGCGUGGAUUGACGAGGGAUCCACACCAACUCAAAUCAAUGAGGAUUCUGAGGCUCUUCCUGAAGAAAGGAGCGCAUAUGCUGCAGUGUCUUUGUGGACAACGAUCGGAGCCGACCACUACCACCAGCGCUUCUGCAAGCGUGUAUGCCGUCUGCCUUUUGGAACCUCACUGUGACUUCAGGUAAGAUUUAAUUAACGUUAUUUGUCUGUGUCAGUCGUGUUUUUGACACAUGCAAUGGCAGUUGUGUAUUUAUUUCUGAUUUCCUGAAAAUUUUGGCUUCAUUGUAAUGAGGUUAAUGAUCUUUGAAAAACCAUGUUUAUGGCCAUACAAUUACUUUGUCUUGAGCUGAUUAGUCAACUGUGGUAGAUUGGUGUUUAUAUUUGUUCAAGUUUGACAACCUUAUCACAUUUAUUUUCUAAUAUAUAUUUCUCAUUACAGACAAGAACAAAGAUAAAAUUGUAAGAAGGGUUGCUUAUAAGAGAGCAUACAGUACAUCUGAAACUGCUGAGGCGGGUAAGGUGUAUAUUACCGACCAGUACAUUGUACUCAGUGUACUGUCAUUCUUAAAAAGAAAACAAAUCAUUGGUCAUCAUUUGCUUUGUGUGUGUGUGUGUUUGUGAAAUAUUAACAUUUGUUGUUUUUCAGAUCAGCUGCUAUAGAAGACAAACGGAAAUAGUAAGUAUAUUUUGAUGUCAUAUCACCCCAUUUUUGAAUCAGGCCUAAUGGAGGGUGAUUUGUUCAAUCUUGGUAGAAAAACGUUAGCAAUGUAAAAAUCUGUUAUUUAAUUUUGUUUCUGUUUUGUUUUUUUCUAAAGCUGCAAGGCUCUUGUGCAAAAUAUUGUAUGCCAGGAGUCAGGAUGACUAGGCUGUGCCCAGGACUCCGGAACCUGCAACGAUGCUUAGCUCCAUCGGCCCUCCGUCUGUGCCUUCGGAUCCACCAGCUCUGUCUCCAUCGGUCAGCCCCCAGAUGUCAGCAGUCACACCAUCUACAUCUUGGCUCCUCCCUCCCUCGAUUCUGCCAUGUUUUGUCAGCAAUGGGAUGCUCUGGGUCUGUGCCACAAAAGGCCUAUUUCUCUCUAAUACUGUUCACAAAUCUGUCUAAAUCUGUGUUAGUAAGCACUUCUCCUUUGCCGAGAUAAUCCAUCCACCUCACAGAUAGAAUCAGGCAUAUCAAGAUUCUGAUUAGACAGCAUGAUUAUUGCACAGGUGUGCCUUAGGCUGGUCACAAUAAAAGGCCACUCUAAAAUGUGCA